CACGUAGGCGGACUCUUAAGUCAGGGGUGAAAUCCCGGGGCUCAACCUCGGAACUGCCUUUGAUACUGUGAGUCUCGAGACCGGAAGAGGUGAGUGGAAUUCCUAGUGUAGAGGUGAAAUUCGUAGAUAUUAGGAAGAACACCAGUGGCGAAGGCGGCUCACUGGUCCGGUUCUGACGCUGAGGUGCGAAAGCGUGGGGAGCAAACA
rnacentral:rRNA from 1 species